rnacentral:rRNA from 1 species
GAUGAACGCUGGCGGCGUGCCUAAUACAUGCAAGUCGAGCGAACGGACGUGAAGCUUGCUUCUCUGAUGUUAGCGGCGGACGGGGGAGUAACACGUGGAUAACCUACCUAUAUGACUGGGAUAACUUCGGGAGACCGGAGCGAAUACCGGAUAAUAUUUUGAACCGCAUGGUUCAAAAGUGAAAGACGGUCUUGCUGUCACUUAUAGAUGGAUCCGCGCUGCAUUAGCUAGUUGGUAAGGUAACGGCUUACCAAGGGAACCAUACAUAGCCGACCUGAGAGGGGGAUGGGCCCAAUUGGAACGGGGACACGGCCAAGCCUCCAACGGGAGGCGGCAGUGGGGAAUCUCCGGCAAUGGGCGAAAGCCUGCCGGAGCAACGCCGCGUGGGUGAUGAAGGUCUUCGGAUCGUAAACCUCUGUUAUUGGGGAAGAACAUAUGUGUGAGUAACUGUGCACAUCUUGACGGUACCUAAACAGAAAGCCACGGCUAACUACGUG